rnacentral:rRNA from 1 species
ACGCUGGCGGCAGGCUUAACACAUGCAAGUCGAACGGUAACAGGAAUUAGCUUGCUAAUUUGCUGACGAGUGGCGGACGGGUGAGUAAUGCUUGGGAAUCUGGCUUAUGGAGGGGGAUAACUACGGGAAACUGUAGCUAAUACCGCGUAAAAUCUUCGGAUUAAAGGGUGGGACUUUCGAGCCACCUGCCAUAAGAUGAGCCCAAGUGGGAUUAGGUAGUUGGUUAGGUAAAGGCUGACCAAGCCGACGAUCUCUAGCUGGUCUGAGAGGAUGACCAGCCACACUGGAACUGAGACACGGUCCAGACUCCUACGGGAGGCAGCAGUGGGGAAUAUUGCACAAUGGGGGGAGCCCUGAUGCAGCCAUGCCGCGUGAAUGAAGAAGGCCUUCGGGUUGUAAAGUUCUUUCGGUGACGAGGAAGGUUGAUAGGUUAAUAGCCUAUCAAAUUGACGUUAAUCACAGAAGAAGCACCGGCUAACUCCGUGCCAGCAGCCGCGGUAAUACGGGGGGUGCGAGCGUUAAUCGGAAUAACUGGGCGUAAAGGGCACGCAGGCGGUGACUUAAGUGAGAUGUGAAAGCCCCGAGCUUAACUUGGGAAUUGCAUUUCAUACUGGGUCGCUAGAGUACUUUAGGGAGGGGUAGAAUUCCACGUGUAGCGGUGAAAUGCGUAGAGAUGUGGAGGAAUACCGAAGGCGAAGGCAGCCCCUUGGGAAUGUACUGACGCUCAUGAGCGAAAGCGUGGGGAGCAAACAGGAUUAGAUACCCUGGUAGUCCACGCUGUAAACGAUAUCGAUUUGGGGAUUGGGCUUUGAGCUUGGUGCCCGUAGCUAACGUGAUAAAUCGACCGCCUGGGGAGUACGGCCGCAAGGUUAAAACUCAAAUGAAUUGACGGGGGCCCGCACAAGCGGUGGAGCAUGU